ACUGGAAGGUUGGCAUCUUCUGUAAUCGUGCAUCGGCGAGGUCAGAUUGUGGUACGUUCUGAGGACGGGGUAUCUGUGUUGUGGACUUCCUAACGUCAACGGUACGUCCGCUUCACUUAGCUUAGCGUCAAUUUGGUAUGUUAUGGAGGAGUCCGUGGCAUUCAGGUUGGUUAUGGAGGGGUGUAUCGUGACAGGGGUGAAAACCAGCUGUCAAGAGCCCCCCCCAUUGAGCUGUAGUGGUGGUACAGCGUGUCGGAAAUGUAAGGUGCCAUUACCUGCCUGGCCAAUAUUGUUGGACUGCAAUCUUU
rnacentral:SRP_RNA from 2 species